rnacentral:rRNA from 1 species
AUGCUCGUACGCCUUCUGCUCGCCAUAGCCGUGCGCCUUCUCGCCAUAGCCAUGCUUCUGGACCUUGCUGUCGUACGCGUUCUGCUCGCCGUAGCCGUGCUUCUGGACCUUGCUGUCGUAAGCCUUCUGCUCGCCGUAGCCGUGCGCCUUCUCGCCGUAGCCAUGCUUCUGGACCUUGCCGUCCUGGUGAUACGCCGUGUGCUCGCCGCCGUAGCCGCUCUUCUGGACCUUGCUGUCCUGGUGGUGACCACCGUACGCCUUCUGCUCGCCGUAGCCAUGCUUCUGCGCCGAGCUGUCAUGGUGGGCCUCGGCCCCAUUCUGGUAAGCCUUCUGCUCACCGUAGCCAUGCUUCUGCGUCGUGCUGUCGUGGCUGACGGCGUCAUAGCCUCCAUGCUGGUACGCCGCCGCCUUUUGUCCGCCAUAGGCGCCGUGCUUCUGCACGGAGCUUUCGUGGUGGUGAGCGCCAUACCCUCCGGCAGCGCUCUCAUGCUGGUACGACGACGCCUUCUGCUCACCAUAGCCGCCGUGCUUCUGCCCGGCGUUGUCACGGACGACGGCGUCGAAGCCUCCGACGUCGCCCCCGUACGCCUGCUGCCCGUAGCCGUGCUUCUGCACGUCGGCAUCCUCAGAGCACAGCUCCGUGAGGGAGGCCGUCUUCUGCACGCCGCCGUUGUACCCGGCCUGCUUCUCGUUGAGGCUCAUGUGGCUGAUCUCCGUCAUGACGGUGGUCACCGAGUCGGAGUUGUGGGUGUGGUAGCUUAUCACGGGCUUGCUCUGGCCGUAGCCGCCGCCGAAGCCCAAAGCACGCUUGACGAUGGACAUGGCUGCUUGCUUGCUUGGGCUCCUGGCUACUUGCUCUUACUACUACGGCUUGGCUUGCUUAGUUGUUUUGCUAGUUGUAUGUGGCCAUGGGAGGCAGGGUUUUAUAGGCGCCGUGGCGAGGGUGGGAGCCAUAGCAUUUGUGCUUGGUAUGGUAGCUGA